rnacentral:rRNA from 1 species
AGUCGCCUACGGGGGGCAGCAGUGAGGAAUAUUGGUCAAUGGGCGCGAGCCUGAACCAGCCAAGUCGCGUGAGGGAAGACGGUACUAUGGAUUGUAAACCUCUUUUGUCGGGGAGCAAAAGACGACACGCGUGGCGUUCCGAGAGUACCCGAAGAAAAAGCAUCGGCUAACUCCGUGACAGCAGCCGCGGUAAUACGGAGGAUGCGAGCGUUAUCCGGAUUUAUUGGGUUUAAAGGGUGCGCAGGCGGAAGAUCAAGUCAGCGGAAAAAUUGAGAGG